CUUCUACCUAGGAGUCCAGACUUUGAUAUAUUGACUUGGUAGAAGUUAAAUGGGCCUAAAUAUCCAACCUUGCAGAGGAUUACUCGAGAUAUUCUUGCUAUUCCAGUCUCUACUGUUGCUUCUGAGUCUGCUUUUAGCACUGCUGGAACGGUAAUAAGUCCAUAUCGCAAUAGACUUCAUUCAGGUACAUUGGAGGCAUUAAUGUGUUCUCAAAAUUGGUUAUGGGCUGACCUAAAAGGUGAAGAGUCUUGUUCGACAAUCUACAAUGAUAAUGAUUCAGAAGAUAGUAAGUAUUUUUCAUUAAUCUCUAAAAUAUUGGUUUUUAAAAUAUUG